CAGAAAUAUUUCUUUCUUUCAGUUACUCUCUUGAUUCGCCUGACGUUAACAGUAGCUCAUCUUCCUCGUGUGUGUUCGUCCUUUUUUGGUAGGGGUGGACAAGGAUCGAAUAUCCCAGAUAGCAUGUCGGAAAGAAGCUGGAGCUUUCACAUGCUUUCUAGGCGAAACCGGAAGGUAUGGACCAGAUGAUUUUCCUGUCCCAGCACUGCACCCUCAUUUUAAAGUUGAUUCCCUUCCCUGUCCAAAAUUCAGAACAUAUUGGAGACAAACUUUAACCUCAACCCAUAGUUCCUCAUCUUGUAACCUCAGUGACAAAAAUAGUCUCUUACUCAACACUAGUUUGUAGCAAGGAUAGCUAUAAAUAUCAAAUUCAGAACAUAUUGGAGACAAACUUUAACCUCAACCCAUAGUUCCUCAUCUUGUAACCUCAGUGACAAAAAUAGUCUCCUACUCAACACUAGUUUGUCGCAGGAUAGCUAUAAUAAAUAUCAAAUUACUGAGUUGCACA